rnacentral:rRNA from 1 species
UACGUAGGGGGCAAGCGUUGUCCGGAAUCAUUGGGCGUAAAGCGGGUGUAGGUGGCCAUGUAAGUCAGAUGUGAAAGCCCAGGGCUUAACCCUGGAAGUGCAUUUGAUACUGCGUGGCUUGAGUGUGGGAGAGGAUAGUAGAAUUCCUGGUGUAGUGGUGAAAUACGUAGAUAUCAGGAGGAAUACCGGAGGCGAAGGCGGCUAUCUGGCCUAACACUGACACUCAGACCCGAAAGCGUGGGGAUCAAACAGG